AGCAGCCGCGGUAAUUCCAGCUCCAAUAGCGUAUAUUAAAGUUGUUGCAGUUAAAAAGCUCGUAGUUGAAUUUCGGGGUCAGUAGGUUGGUCAUGCCACUGGUAUGUACUGGUCUCACUGAUUCCUCCUUCCUGAUGAGCCGUAAUGCCAUUAAUUUGGUGUUGCGAGGAAUCUGGACUGUUACUUUAGAAAAAUUAGAGUGUUUAAAGCAGGCUAACGCUUGAAUACAUUAGCAUGGAAUAAUGAAAUAGGACGUUCGAUCUUAUUUUGUUGGUUUCUAAGAUUGACGUAAUGAUUAAUAGGGAUAGUUGGGGGCAUUAGUAUUCAAUUGUCAGAGGUGAAAUUCUUGGAUUUAUUGAAGACUAACUACUGCGAAAGCAUUUGCCAAGGAUGUUUUCAUUAAUCAAAGAACGAAAGUUAGGGGAUCGAAGACGAUCAGAUACCGUCGUA
rnacentral:rRNA from 1 species